GAUGAACGCUGGCGGCGUGCCUAAUACAUGCAAGUCGAGCGAACGGACGAGAAGCUUGCUUUUCUGAUGUUAGCGGCGGACGGGUGAGUAACACGUGGAUAACCUACCUAUAAGACUGGGAUAACUUCGGGAAACCGGAGCUAAUACCGGAUAAUAUUUUGAACCGCAUGGUUCAAAAGUGAAAGACGGUCUUGCUGUCACUUAUAGAUGGAUCCGCGCUGCAUUAGCUAGUUGGUAAGGUAACGGCUUACCAAGGCAACGAUGCAUAGCCGACCUGAGAGGGUGAUCGGCCACACUGGAACUGAGACACGGUCCAGACUCCUACGGGAGGCAGCAGUAGGGAAUAUUCGGCAAUGGGCGAAAGCCUGACGCAGCAACGCCGCGUGAGUGAUGAAGGUCUUCGGGUCGUAAAGCUCUGUUGUUAGGGAAGAACAGCUGUGGAAGUAACUGCCGAUAUCUUGACGGUACCUAAACAGAAAGCCACGGCUAACUACGUG
rnacentral:rRNA from 1 species